GCCCAGUGACAUGUGUUCAACGGCCGCGGUACCCUGACCGUGCAAAGGUAGCAUAAUCACUUGUUCUCUAAAUAAGGACUUGUAUGAAUGGCCACACGAGGGUUUAACUGUCUCUUACUUCUAAUCAGUGAAAUUGACCUAUCCGUGAAGAGGCGGAUAUAACCAAAUAAGACGAGAAGACCCUAUGGAGCUUCAAUUUAAUAAUGCAAACUAAUAACUUAAAAACCAACAGGCACCAAUCCACCGUGUAUGUAUUAUAAACUUUGGUUGGGGUGACCUCGGAGCAUAACAUAACCUCCGAAAGACAUAUACCAAGACUUAACCAGUCUAAGUAAACUUAUAACCAUUGACCCAAUAACUUGAUCAACGGACUAAGUUACCCUAGGGAUAACAGCGCAAUCCUACUCUAGAGUCCAUAUCGACAGUAGGGUUUACGACCUCGA
rnacentral:rRNA from 1 species